UACAGAGGUCUCAAGCGUUGUUCGGAUUCAUUGGGCGUAAAGGGUGCGUAGGCGGCGCGGUAAGUCGGGUGUGAAAUUUCGAGGCUUAACUUCGAAACUGCAUUCGAUACUGCCGUGCUUGAGGACUGGAGAGGAGACUGGAAUUACGGUGUAGCGGUGAAAUGCGUAGAUAUCGUAAGGAAGACCAGUGGCGAAGGCGGGUCUCUGGACAGUUCCUGACGCUGAGGCACGAAGGCCAGGGGAGCAAACGGG
rnacentral:rRNA from 1 species